UCAAAGAAUUAAAAAAAACACCAAACACAAUUCUUAUGAAAUUUCCACGCUCAUUUCUCUUAUUCUUCAAUCAACGAAAAUCAAGAAGAAAAAAAGAAUAAAUGGAUAAAAAUGAAGCACUACUAAAAUGUGAUGAAACGUGACGGAGAAAUGCGACAGUCGAGUGUCAAUUAAAACCUCAUGGCCGAUGAAUACGAGCUGUAUCUCGAUCAUGCACACGCUCGAUUAUCGAUCUCUCGCCGUCUCGCGUGGAUAAAGAUUUUUCUCGCGUUCGAAGGCGAGUUUACUCGCAACAAGUUCCAUCGAGAAUUUCUCGUUGAAGAAAUUUUUUGGCGAGACUACGUCGAGCCAACCGUGAAAUUAGUUACUUCGCUUCGAUAGUCGAACUCGGGUAACAAUCGAUAGGUACGCGUAUCGAGAUUUGGACGAUCAGUAUUACUCGUUAAAACGUAACUGCGUAGUAUAUAGUGACACGUAAAACGAGUAAAAAAUUCUAUUUGUAGUUGAGUGAACGAAUAGUUUAUCAGUGAGGGAUUAUUAAUCGAGUUAAAAUGCAAAAUAAUUCUUCUACGAAAUGAGAAAACAUCAGAGAUUGGCGAAGAAUCGCAACGUUGGAGAGCAGGUUGCGCCCCAUCGUCGAAGCCGAUGACAACUCGUUAAUGGAAAAGAGAAAUAACGGCUAUUAGCGUGUGCUGGCGGUGUAAUUUGGUAUAAUAAGAGCGAUGGUCGCGUUUUAAUCUUCGUUAUUGAAUUCGUUGGCUAAACACUCCCGGCUGCCGAUUGAAACGCAUCGGAACCGAUUUUAUCGCGAUUGAUUUUUGGCCCCGGGAAUCCCGCACGCCACGCGAUAAUUAUGUACAUUCGAUUUUAUACCUGUUAUAUACCCUCUCCUCUGUGGUGUAAAGCUCAAAACACGCGAUAUAGAUUGCACAAGGUGCAUAAUACGUUACGUUACGUUUCGUCCGAUAAAACGUAAAUAUAAUUUCCUUCUGAAAAAUAUUCCGAAAAACUGGAGGAGGGGGGAAAAAAGAAAUUAAAACACCGUCGAGACUAGAUCUAGAAUCUAAGAAAGAAAAAUCGAGGAAAAAUUUUCGGUAAUUCGUAAAAUUCCAAGAACACCCUGGGAAGAAAAGAAAACGAGGCUCUCUCCAUUCGCUUCCAUUUACAAAUUAAAACGCGACACCCCGUAUAACGGAUACAGAAAACACCCUCCCACGCCCAAGCUAGCAACACACCAGAGGUGAAAGAAACAUAGCCACCACCAUCACCAUCGUAACGAUUUCGAACGCCCUCCUCCGCAGGGAUCUAGCGCAAUAAUUUUCCCGAUCCAUUAAGGCGCACGAGUCACGCAGCAGACGUUCCUAAAUACACACCGCCGCACACGCGAAUCGAGCACCAUUCACACACGGACGCGCAACGUCCUCGAGGAGACCCUAGGGGACCCUAGGACGCGAGGUGGUUGGACGGCCGCCACUGAGAAUUCAAUUAACGGUAAUUAUAUGGCGACCCAACCCUCGUUACUUUUCACCCAUCGGUCCUUCUGGCCAACCCAAACUCCCCCCUUCCUUCCUUCCUUCCUUCGAUGCAGGUGCAGAGCAUCGUGGAUGCAGAGAGCUCGCUGCCAGAAAACUUGCCACCAAGUCCCAUUUCGAAAGGUUGGAGGAACUAGGCGACCCUUAUCCCUUAUCCUCUUUUCCAUUCUCUCUUUCUCUCCACAACCUCUCCCCUCCCUCCAACCUCCUCCGGGUUUUCUUUAUCCGGCAAGGCUGCAGCACCUCGAGCAAAGGGGGUUUGCAUUUAAUACCAGCGGUAGUGGAAGGUUCUCGAGAAUUGGCAGGGAUAUCCACGAUCCCCUAAUUGUGUGUCCGCGGGGGUUUGGGGAGAGGGGCUUUUAUCCCCGAGGCUGGAUCAGGCUGGCUGCCAAACCUGGCCGAAUCUUAAGCUUGGCUUUGGUGAAGCCUCCUUUUUUUACUCGUGCCGAUAAAAGACCUUACUUACUAUUACGGCCAUGAAUUAAAGGGACGUUGCGUAAUUAGGGGUGGAAUUUUGAUGAAUCGAAAGGUUGAGGGAUCUCUCCUGUUUCGGAUCGAUUUGAAACGAUUUUCGGCUUUUUUGCUUCCAACUGUCGAUUCGAAUCACAGUAAAGUACUGUAAAUAUGUUUUUCCAGUAAGUAACAUUUCCAACUAAAUCGCUAUUUGGAAAGAAUCGAACGUAGCAAAAAAAGGAGAAAAAGUAUCCCAUCCAAUUGUUUCGCCAAACCAAAAAAAAAAGAAGAAAAAUAAAAUAAAAUAAAAAAAGAAUAAUAGAGAAGAACGAAAUGGAAAGAAAAAGAACUCCAACUAUAAUAAUAAAAACUGCUAAUUAAACGCAACAAUCGCUGUCGAAACGAAACGGGGGAGGGGGAAAAAAAUAAAACGAAAUAGAAUAAAAUAAAAAUAAAAUAAAAUAAAAAAGAGGAAAGUAGAGAAAAAAAAAAAAAAAAAAAAAGAAAGUUCUAACUGGCCCACACUCCGCCGAAACGGCAGAUUAACAACGGCCGUCCGUUUCCACAGCUCGCGCGGAUAUUUUUCAUUUAACCGGGAUCGAGCUUUUAAAAUCGGAAAUAUUUUUUGCCAGGGCAAACACGAACGAAACGGCCGAAACAACGGUCGGCAAUCGUCAGUAAAUUUCACGAGCCCUCCCUCCCCCACCUCCUCCCCCUCUCCCCUCCCCCAACCCGCGCCGGGGUGUAAUAUCAAUUAUAAACGCGUAACCAAUAACUAUGCCCGCGUAUAUCUGCUCGACCAGUCGCCGGCACAGGAAUUCGUCGAAUAUUUACCAAUCCCCGCGUAAUCGAAAAAACGGGGAACGAUCGUUGGAAUACCUUUUCAUCGCGUUUGCAAAACACGUUCGUACAUACAUCGGUGUAACGGCCAAUCUCAGCCCAGCCUCGCUCUCGAGGAUCGUGCUUCUUUUCGUGAGUCUACGUAACGUUUUGUUAUUUCAAUUUUUUUGACGGAAAUGACGGGAUGCAUGCGAUUUACACAGGAAUAAUGUUUCUUAAUUUACGAUAACGUCGCCAUGUGUACAAUGUGGUAUGUAUUUGGCAAGUCAAGAUCGUGGGAAGAUACGGUUGGUAAUGCAGAGAGAUAUAGUUAUUUUCCGCGUGUUUUUUGGCUAGUGACUUUGUUCUAAGUUUUAUCGUGAAUGAAUUCCAGAUCACAUACAGGGGGAUUUAAAUAAACGUAAAUUGAUGAUGCGUUAGACGAUGCAGAGUGUUUAAUAGAUCUCUCUCUUUCUUUCUUUUUUUUUUUUUUUUUUUUAUAAUAAACAGUAGAAGAGAAAAAGUAACACGGAUUCACGAGGGGUAGAUUUUAAUGAAAUUUCGAAAUUUAUAUUUUCCACAUUUUAUCCCAUAUACUCGACACGCGUUACCGAAAUUUUACGAAACAUGAGAGAGCCGUGAUAAAUACUAGAAUUUUCCAGAUUUAUAUUCCUAUUUAUUCUCUGUUGCAAUAACAAGUGCGUCGAAGCUCUCGAAUGAUUUUUUGACAAUUUUUUCAGUAACGCGCUUCAUUUUUUGAGUUCGACCGAAAAAAAAAAGACUCGACCUUUAUCCCAUCGAAAACAGAAUUUCUAAAUAAAAAAUAAAAAAAAGGGGGGCGGGAAACAAAAAAAAAAAAAAGAAAAAAUGACAGAUAAAAAUCAUUCAUAAAUGAUUCCUCAAACCGCGAAACCGUUUAUAUUUCUCGUCUAUAUUCGAGGUACGUGUAUAGUUGGGAAGGGAUGCGAAAACCAUGGAAAUAAAAAAUACAAUCCUCUACAAGCGAAUCUCGUUGCGCAAUCGAGAAACGUUCGAUCAAAUUAAUUGCGCUAUAGUUAAUCGUUACGUAUUUUUGGAAUAUAAAAUGUUUCUAAAAACGGAUUAUGAAGCGUGAAAAGAUUAAAUUGUCGCGAAACAGAAUAAUAAAACGCUUUGAAAGGGAUCAGGAGGGUUGUUCUCACCCUUAGCUCGUACAUCCCCCAUCCAUCGGAAUCGUAAAACGGAAACUCGUCACGCACAUUCGUCUUUGAAUCCUCUUGCUGACGUCGCAAGCUUUUCGACACGUGGGGUGCGCCACCCCUGUUUCGAAAACAAUUGCCCGAAACUUGAUCCAGAUAUCGAAAUUCGAGCAGAAUCCUCUUUAAUCACUUGAAAAGUGGAGAUUUAUAACUAACUUACCUACGGAUGAUCAACGAAACGACAAAUAUAUUCUAAAAUGACAAAUUUCCAAUGUGCACGCAUAUCCUCGAUGAUCUCGGUGUAUAAAUAAACGAAAUUAAGAGUAUAGUGUACGUGGGGGAUGACGAAGCACCUCUCGUGGAGAAAAUAAUUUUCCAAGUGGCCGAGAAGGAGAAGCGGGCCGGACAAAAGGCAAUUGAAAAGUUGGAUCGGCGGGCGACACGUAUACGAGCGGCACGAUUCGAAACUCAGGUUAACCGUGAAAGCCGCGGGAGCGUAGAUAAGUGUUAGGUAUCAACUUGUUGCAUUAAUUACACCGGGGAGGCUAUUAGCCAUCGAUUCGCGCGAAACCUCGUUUCUCUCUAGUUACCUCUCUUCUCGGUUUCCGUGUACAUAGGCGCACGCGUACAACGGUGUUUAGAGGCUUCCUACACACGCGUUCAAGUCAUCCGGAUUUACGACACGCGUUUCUGUUUCGAUAUACAUAUAUAUAUAUAUAUCGAAAUCACACGUGGAUUUCGUACCGAUGGAAAAUUCGCCCCGAAUGAUUGAUUGAUCUUGACACGUUUAUUAGCUUGUAUAUGAUUGUUCGAGAGUUUAUAUUUUAUAAUUUAACUUUUGUAUUUAAUAUCGUUUUCUUUUUUUUUUUGAAAAUAAAGCGAUAAGUUUAUCGUGUGUACUGGAUUUAAUAAAGUUAUACCAACGGUUGAUUCCAUUGCGAUUCUUUAUAUUUAAAUUUCCGUCUCGAAUGUGAUCAUGUGUGAAUACGCAGAUUUUUUUUUUUUAAACGAAUUGUGUUCUAUAAAAUUGCUUUUUUUCCUCGUUGCAUAAUGAAUUUUAAUAUCGGCAUGAAAUUUUUUCCUUAAAAACUGGUUUCGUCUUAACCUUCGCGAAAUUUUUUUCUUAUUAUCACGGAUGAUCGGUGAUAAUUUAUACAUUAUUUAACCGAUCAUUACGAAAGAUAAUCAUUUUACAAUCGAACCGUUGAACAGUUAUAAAGCUAUUAAUAAUCGACGUUAUUUAAAAUAUAAAGGAAUAAAGGGACAUUUAUCGAACCGAUCUGCUCGAUUUUUACACGUUGGAAAAUUAUCUAUUUCGAAAACGACCGGAGACACGUGUCAACUCUACUUCUCCCGCCUAUCUCAUAACCAUUUCAACUUGCAAAUACUCGCGACACGAGUUCUUCAUCUAACUCGUAUCGUUGAUAAGGAGAAACACAGCAAAAUAUAAAUACGUGAAUCAAUUUUACCGCAAGAGAUAACCUUUUUACUCGACUAAACCGCGCGUAUAUCGCAAAUAUCUUUUACACGCGUACGUACAUGGUAACACGAGAAUGCCGCCGUCUCUUUUCCAUCAAGGUUCUCCUCUAUCGACAGUGGUGCAUUGCCGAGAAAGUUGAAAUAAUAAACCAAAACCAUCUGUUAAAUAUUAUUUUUAUGCAUAAUUUCAUAAUUCUAUGCACAUCUCCCCUUAUGCACGUUUCCUCGCACAAGCUUACGCGCAAUUCGUCGAAGCGUCAAAUUUUUGCAAUCGGAAAAAAGGAAAAA